CUUGAACUCCUUUUACUAUACAACGCACGCAGAGUACAGUACAGCUAGCUAGCAUCUGUUGAUCUCGUGUGCAAGUCAACGUGUUUGUGCAGUCUACAAGGCUAGGCCUGUCAUUUAGCUGGACUAUAAAUGAUUUACUGGACCUGAUAUCAAAGUUAACUGUGGAAUAGAGGGAAGUGAAUAUUCGUCUGAUCGCCGUGAUAGGACACACUGCGGCUACUGUGUGGCUUGGGAGUUGCCAAUCGAGGGAGGUACCAGGUGAUGAAAGGAGCAAGAAGGAAGCAAGCUGGAGUUUCAAGUAUUUGUCUCGGUUUCUGUCAGAGGACGACUCCAGGACAUGUCUGGGUCGCUGACGGGACGCAGAAGUCAAAGGUCGUCCAUCCACUCUAGUCUACUUCGCAGCAAUUCGUUUGCAGGUUUUCGCGAUGAUAUUCCAUCGGAUCCAUUCAUGGCGGUAAGUUUUUAUCAAUCACUUUAUUACUUAAAGACAAGUAGACUGCAUGAACAUUAAUGUAGCUUAAAGUAUAACAAUCAACCGAAAAAUUU